AAACAAAAACAACGCAGCACAUGCGGCAGCAAAGAUUACUAGAAACAGGGCCCAGGAGGACCAGAGGAUUGGCAAAAUAGCAGCGGAGGAAGGAAUGCAGAGACCAAGAGAGAGAAAUGGAGAGAGAAAGAGGCCCUUUCAUCUGCCAGCUUCCCUAGCCUGCCGUGGAACUUGAAGACCUGCAUCCUGCCACAGGAGAGGGAGCGGAAAUGACAAAAGGACCAGGGGAGAAAUGGGCUGGAGAAGCCACUGCUUCCUUGUCACUGUGUCUUCAAGUGGAAAUGUAAAGGGCACUUCCAGAUGGCUGUCUACUGUGGGAUGGGUGCUCCUCAUGCAUGCAAAUAUUUUGUGGCAUCCACACACGUCAUAGGCAUCAAAAUUCAAAAACAGAAGGGAGUAGAAAAAGAGGAAGACCAAACAAGAGAUGGAUUCAUUCCGUAAAGGAAGCCACAGACCUGAACUGACAAGAUCUGAAUAGGGUGGUUCAUAACAGAUGCUAUUGGAGGUUGCUGAUUCAUAGGAUCGCCAUAAGUUGUAAUCGACUUGAAGGCACAUAACAACAACAUCCUCCCCAUCUAAUUUGGAUUUACCUUUGCCAGGAAAAUAUUGAUUAGUAUAGUACAUUAAACAAAUAAUUGUUGUUGAUUACUCAUUUGCAAUACCUGAACAGCCCUUUACAAUAUUAAGCCUUUGUCUGGAAGUACACAUAGCAUCUGAGGCCUGGAAACACAUUUCACCACCUCAGGUGCUCAGGCUCUAUAACAGGGAUGGGAAUACUGUGGUCCUCCAGAUAUCGUUGGGCUCCAGUUUCCAUCAGCUGCAGCCAGCAUAGCCAAUAGUAAAGGAUGAUGGGAGCUAGAGUCCAGCAACCUUUGGAAGACCAUAGAUGUCCCAUCCUAGCUUCCCAUUGAGCACAGGGGAACUCACUUCUGAGUAAACCUGCAGAGGAUUAUGCCACUUUGACAGAGCCACCUACUAGCAAUGGCUUCACGUUUGUAUAGUGUACAUGCUUCAGGUUCACUGGGCUUUAUUAAAAUCCCAAAGAGAUAUGCAAACUUUUAAGUACAGAAGCACUAUGUAUGCUCUCUCUCUCUCUCUCUCUCUCUCUCUCUCUCUCUCUCUCACACACACACACACACACACACACACACACACACACACAAGGUAAAUAA